rnacentral:misc_RNA from 1 species
ACUGCCAUUUCUUAUUCUUUCUUCAGCUAGUUCUUUGGUAGAGCCCUUCUGAUGUGCCAAAACAACUUCUUCAAUACCAGUUGUACGCAGCACUUCUUCAUCUCUAACUGCAAUGCCACAGCGAACAGUACACAAAUACUCGCUGCUACUCUGCAACUCAUGGGCAUAAUAUAUUUCAUAAACUCGAGAAGUACUUCGAACAUAAACUUGUGAUCUCGCAGGAAUUGGAAUCAGGUGAGGGAGGACAAAGUAUGAGAGAGGACUUGCAGGUCGAACUCACAGGGAAGGAUUGAUCGAGAUUAUCA